AGCAGUAGCCGGGUAAUACGAAGGGUGCAAGCGUUAAUCGGAAUUAUUGGGCGUAAAGAGCUCGUAGGCGGUUUGUCGCGUCUGCUGUGAAAACUGGAGGCUCAACCUCCAGCCUGCAGUGGGUACGGGCAGACUAGAGUGCGGUAGGGGAGAUUGGAAUUCCUGGUGUAGCGGUGGAAUGCGCAGAUAUCAGGAGGAACACCGAUGGCGAAGGCAGAUCUCUGGGCCGUGACUGACGCUGAGGAGCGAAAGCGUGGGGAGCGAACAGGAUUAGAUACCCCAGUAGUCCCUGUCUCUUAUACA
rnacentral:rRNA from 1 species